rnacentral:rRNA from 1 species
AGCAGCCGCCGCGGUAAUACGAAGGGGGCUAGCGUUGUCCGGAAUUAUUGGGCGUAAAGGGCCCGCAGGCGGUUUCUUAAGUCUGAUGUGAAAGCCCCCGGCUCAACCGGGGAGGGUCAUUGGAAACUGGGAAACUUGAGUGCAGAAGAGGAGAGUGGAAUUCCACGUGUAGCGGUGAAAUGCGUAGAGAUGUGGAGGAACACCAGUGGCGAAGGCGACUCUCUGGUCUGUAACUGACGCUGAGGAGCGAAAGCGUGGGGAGCGAACAGGAUUAGAUACCCCGGUAGUCCCUGUCUCUUAUAA